rnacentral:rRNA from 1 species
UGGGGAAUAUUGCACAAUGGGCGAAAGCCUGAUGCAGCGACGCCGCGUGCGGGAUGAAGGCCUUCGGGUUGUAAACCGCUUUUAAUUGGGAGCAAGCGAGAGUGAGUGUACCUUUUGAAUAAGCACCGGCUAACUACGUGCCAGCAGCCGCGGUAAUACGUAGGGUGCAAGCGUUAUCCGGAAUUAUUGGGCGUAAAGAGCUCGUAGGCGGUUUGUCACGCCUGGUGUGAAAGUCCAUCGCUUAACGGUGGAUCUGCGCCGGGUACGGGCAGGCUAGAGUGCAGUAGGGGAGAUUGGAAUUCCCGGUGUAACGGUGGAAUGUGUANAUAUCGGGAAGAACACCAAUGGCGAAGGCAGAUCUCUGGGCUGUUACUGACGCUGAGGAGCGAAAGCAUGGGGAGCGAACAGGAUUAGAUACCCUGGUAGUCCAUGCCGUAAACGGUGGAUGCUGGAUGUGGGACCCUUCCACGGGUUCCGUGUCGGAGCUAACGCGUUAAGCAUCCCGCCUGGGGAGUACGGCC